GACGUAGGGCGCGAGCGUUGUCCGGAUUUAUUGGGCGUAAAGAGCUUGUAGGCGGUUUGUCGCGUCUGCUGUGAAAUUUCGGGGCUCAACCCCGAACUUGCAGUGGGUACGGGCAGACUAGAGUGUGGUAGGGGAGACUGGAAUUCCUGGUGUAGCGGUGAAAUGCGCAGAUAUCAGGAGGAACACCGAUGGCGAAGGCAGGUCUCUGGGCCAGCUACUGACGCUGAGAAGCGAAAGCAUGGGGAGCGAACAGG
rnacentral:rRNA from 1 species